rnacentral:rRNA from 1 species
GUUGACCUCGGAUCAGGUAGGGAUACCCGCUGAACUUAAGCAUAUCAAUAAGCGGAGGAAAAGAAACCAACAGGGAUUGCUCUAGUAACGGCGAGUGAAGCAGCAAUAGCUCAAAUUUGAAAUCUGGCGUCUUCGACGUCCGAGUUGUAAUUUGUAGAGGAUGCUUCUGAGUAACCACCGACCUAAGUUCCUUGGAACAGGACGUCAUAG